rnacentral:rRNA from 1 species
UACGUAGGGUGCAAGCGUUGUUCGGAAUUAUUGGGCGUAAAGAGCUCGUAGGCGGUUUGUCGCGUCUGCUGUGAAAUCCCGAGGCUCAACCUCGGGCCUGCAGUGGGUACGGGCAGACUAGAGUGCGGUAGGGGAGAUUGGAAUUCCUGGUGUAGCGGUGGAAUGCGCAGAUAUCAGGAGGAACACCAAUGGCGAAGGCAGAUCUCUGGGCCGUUACUGACGCUGAGGAGCGAAAGCAUGGGGAGCGAACAGG